UAGUACGUGCUAUGGUAAGAUAGUAUGAGACUUCUUAGAGGGCCACUUCGGGUUUCCCGAAAGGAAGUCUGUGGCAAUAACAGGUCUGUGAUGCCCUUAGAUAUUCUGGGCCGCACGCGCGCUACACUGACGACUUCAACUAGUUUUUCGGCAUUCCCAAAUUUCCUUGGCCGGAAGGUCUCGGUAAUCUUUUAAAAGGUCGUCGUGAUGGGGCUAGAUUCUUGCAAUUAUUAAUCUCCAACGAGGAACC
rnacentral:rRNA from 1 species